rnacentral:rRNA from 1 species
UGGAGCCGUCCUUGAAAUACCACCCUUUAAUGGCUGGUGUUCUAACGUAGACCCGUAAUCCGGGUUGCGGACAGUGUCUGGUGGGUAGUUUGACUGGGGCGGUCUCCUCCCAAAGAGUAACGGAGGAGCACGAAGGUUAGCUAAUCCUGGUCGGACAUCAGGAGGUUAGUGCAAUGGCAUAAGCUAGCUUGACUGCGAGAGUGACGGCUCGAGCAGGUGCGAAAGCAGGUCAUAGUGAUCCGGUGGUUCUGAAUGGAAGGGCCAUCGCUCAACGGAUAAAAGGUACUCCGGGGAUAACAGGCUGAUACCGCCCAAGAGUUCAUAUCGACGGCGGUGUUUGGCACCUCGAUGUCGGCUCAUCACAUCCUGGGGCUGAAGUAGGUCCCAAGGGUAUGGCUGUUCGCCAUUUAAAGUGGUACGCGAGCUGGGUUUAGAACGUCGUGAGACAGUUCGGUCCCUAUCUGCCGUGGGCGCUGGAGAAUUGAGGGGGGCUGCUCCUAGUACGAGAGGACCGGAGUGGACGCAUCACUGGUGUUCGGGUUGUCAUGCCAAUGGCACUGCCCGGUAGCUAAAUGCGGAAAAGAUAAGUGCUGAAAGCAUCUAAGCACGAAACUUGCCCCGAGAUGAGUUCUCCCUGACUCCUUGAGAGUCCUGAAGGAACGUUGAAGACGACGACGUUGAUAGGUCGGGUGUGUAAGCGCAGCGAUGCGUUGAGCUAACCGAUACUAAUGAACCGUGAGGCUUAACCUU